GAGGAAUAUUGGUCAAUGGACGUAAGUCUGAACCAGCCAAGUAGCGUGCAGGAUGACGGCCCUAUGGGUUGUAAACUGCUUUUGUAUGGGGAUAAAGUUAGGGACGUGUCCCUAUUUGCAGGUACCAUACGAAUAAGGACCGGCUAAUUCCGUGCCAGCAGCCGCGGUAAUACGGAAGGUCCAGGCGUUAUCCGGAUUUAUUGGGUUUAAAGGGAGCGUAGGCUGGAGAUUAAGUGUGUUGUGAAAUGUAGACGCUCAACGUCUGAAUUGCAGCGCAUACUGGUUUCCUUGAGUACGCACAACGUUGGCGGAAUUCGUCGUGUAGCGGUGAAAUGCUUAGAUAUGACGAAGAACUCCGAUUGCGAAGGCAGCUGACGGGAGCGCAACUGACGCUUAAGCUCGAAGGUGCGGGUAUCAAACAGGAUUAGAUACCCUGGUAGUCCGCACAGUAAACGAUGGAUGCCCGCUGUUGGUACCUGGUAUCAGCGGCUAAGCGAAAGCAUUAAGCAUCCCACCUGGGGAGUACGCCGGCAACGGUG
rnacentral:rRNA from 1 species